GAUGAAUAACGUAGCGAAAUGCGAUACUUGGUGUGAAUUGCAGAAUCCCGUGAACCAUCGAGUCUUUGAACGCAAGUUGCGCCCGAAGCCAUUAGGCCGAGGGCACGCCUGCCUGGGCGUCACACGUCGUUGCCCCCCCAUCUACUCCUUCGGGAUUGCGGGGGGCGGAUGAUGGCCUCCCGUGCGCCUCGUCGCGCGGUUGGCAUAAAUGCCAAGUCCUCGGCGACGCACGCCACGACAAUCGGUGGUUGCGAAACCUCGGUUGCCCGUCGUGUGCGGUCGUCGCGCAUCGAGGGCUCGAAAAAAUUGCCGGGCUCCGGCUCGGCUUUCAACGCGACCCCAGGUCAGGCGGGGUUACCCGCUGAAUUUAAGCAUAUCAAUAAGCGGAGGA
rnacentral:misc_RNA from 1 species